CGAGUACCUUACCUCGAAACCUCCAGUGUUCGCAGUAGAAAUAUGGUGGUUAUUCAUGACGUCAUAUAUUUCCCUAGGGUACUGCGGCCGUAUACUGCAGUCCAUAUCGGAACCAAUUUUUCUACAGUGAGAGCACUGUGCAGUGCUCGCAGUGCAUAUCGGAACAUCCCCCCAAUCAGUGCGUGAGAUUCCAAGUCCAGC